rnacentral:lncRNA from 1 species
CAGGGUUGAUUCCGGUUCCAGUGAUGGGGAUGGUGGCCAAGUGAACCAUGAACACUGCAAACCCAAUUGGAAGAGGUGCCAAAACCUGUAAAAGAAAAAAGAAAAAACAGAGUUACACAAGGAAAAAAAAAAUAGAGGAUGAGAAAUGAAGCACUAGAUUUUGCUUACAGGAACAUGGGAAUCUCUGGCGUUUCUCUUGGGAUCGGUGGCGGAGAAGACGGUGUAGACAAGGACAAAGGUGCCGAUAAUCUCAGCGCCCAAACCAGUUCCCUUGGAGUAGCCAUCAGCAAGCAUGUUUGCACCGCCAUGGUACCUGUUGUAGUAGCUUUUCUGAAAAGCCUUCACCAACCCAACACCGCUUAUGGCUCCCAAACACUGAGCCACCAUGUAGAACAAAGCUCUGACCAGUGAAACCUUCCUCGCCAGGAACAAACCGAACGUCACCGCCGGGUUUAUGUGACCCCCUG